GGCUUUUCUUGAGGUACCGUCUAAGUGGUUACCACUUUAUCUUUCCUCACAAAAGGGGUUUACAAUCCGAAAACCUUCAUCCCCCACGCGGCGUCGCUGCGUCAGGCUUUCGCCCAUUGCGCAAUAUUCCUCA
rnacentral:rRNA from 1 species